UGCCAGCCGCCGCGGUAAUACGGAGGGUGCAAGCGUUGUUCGGAAUUAUUGGGCGUAAAGCGCGUGUAGGCGGUUCGUUAAGUCUGAUGUGAAAGCCCGGGGCUCAACCCCGGAAGUGCAUUGGAAACUGGCGAACUUGAGUACGGGAGAGGAAAGUGGAAUUCCGAGUGUAGGGGUGAAAUCCGUAGAUAUUCGGAGGAACACCAGUGGUGAAGGCGACUUCCUGGACCGUUACUGACACUGAGGCACGAAAGCGUGGGGAGCGAACAGGAUUAGAUA
rnacentral:rRNA from 1 species